UCCGUAGGGUGCGAGCGUUAAUCGGAAUUACUGGGCGUAAAGCGUGCGCAGGCGGCUUUGCAAGACAGAUGUGAAAUCCCCGGGCUCAACCUGGGAACUGCAUUUGUGACUGCAAGGCUAGAGUACGGCAGAGGGGGAUGGAAUUCCGCGUGUAGCAGUGAAAUGCGUAGAUAUGCGGAGGAACACCAAUGGCGAAGGCAAUCCCCUGGGCCUGUACUGACGCUCAUGCACGAAAGCGUGGGGAGCAAACAGG
rnacentral:rRNA from 1 species